GGUUCCACAGUGUAGCAGUUAGCACACCUAUUUUACACACAGAAGAUCCUGGGUUCGUGCCCCAGUGGAGUCA
rnacentral:tRNA from 1 species